rnacentral:lncRNA from 1 species
UCUGUAGUGUUGAUAGAAAAAAAAAAGCAAAUGAACGAACGCGCGCACGCACGCGACGUCGUACUCGUACGCGCACGACGACACGACACCACGGGCGGGCGGCUCGUAUUUUAUUCUCGUCGCCGCACGGCGCCGGCCGCCCCGCCGGCAUGGGAACAGCGACAGGAGCUGCGCCGGGGCAUCACUCCCUCGAUUCUCCUCUUGGGAAAGGUCGAAGGGUGACCAAACCAGCACACCGACAGUGACAUUUCUGGGUGCUGGAGUGUCCGUCCGGCCGGUCGUCCCCGGUCCGGUUUUGGACUUUGGAGCACUACGGCAGUCCACUCAUGCUGAAUCAUCGACGUGUUGGGAUCGGAUCGGACUCAUCGGACACAAAAAAAAAAAAAACAAAACAAUGUGGGCACUUUGUAGUUUCGAAUUCGGACGUUUUCGGCGCGCCUUGGCAACACAAGCUACAGCUAGGAUUGUUGCCGUCAACGCGGGCGGGCGACAGAGAUUCUAAUUCCACAACCCAUGUACAGUACAGUAUGACGCUUGGCAGUUGGCAGGCCGGCGGAUGGUGGUGC